GUGUCAGCAGCCGCGGUAAGACGAACCGUGCGAACGUUGUUCGGAUUCACUGGGCUUAAAGGGCGCGUAGGCGGGCGAUCAAGUCCGGGGUGAAAUCUUUCGGCUCAACCGGAAAAGUGCCUUGGAUACUGGUCGCCUCGAGGGAGGUAGGGGCAUGCGGAACUUCCGGUGGAGCGGUGAAAUGCGUAGAUAUCGGAAGGAACGCCGGUGGCGAAAGCGGCGUGCUGGACCUCUGCUGACGCUGAGGCGCGAAAGCCAGGGGAGCGAACGGGAUUAGAUACCCCAGUAGUCC
rnacentral:rRNA from 1 species